AUGUUCUUGCAUAUACUUUUGCACUUCAUUAGUUGCCUAAUUGGUAUAGUUACUUACUACUGUUGCCGUGAUGAAAAGGAGCAAAUGGAGUUACAUGUUGCUAUGCAGUACUGGUGUUGGCGCGCUGACAACUGGAAGGCCAGUGAUGAGCUGUACGCCUGCAGUUCGUGGACGAGCUUGGCGGCGUCCCCGGCAACCUGGCCAGCGCCAUCCACGGCACAUCCAGCAGGCUCGUCGACCGUACAAAGGAGUGUCUCCUGCUUGCCAUCCGCACCGAGUGCUCGCACCUCCAUGCCAGGGUCGUUCAAGUGUCACAACACGCCGAGCUGA
rnacentral:rRNA from 1 species